rnacentral:rRNA from 1 species
AACGAACGCUGGCGGCGUGUUUAAGACAUGCAAGUCGCACGGGAUAAGACAUGUAGUAAUACUUGUUUUAUUUAGUGGCGCACGGGUGAGUAACACGUGAAUUACAUGCCCUAUAGUGGGGAAUAGCCCAGGGAAACUUGGAUUAAUACCCCAUGGUAUCGAAAGAUAAAAGGUGGCCGCAAGGCUGUCGCUAUAGGAUUGGUUCGCGCCCUAUCAGCUUGUUGGUGAGGUAACGGCUCACCAAGGCAAUGACGGGUACCUGGUCUGAGAGGCCGAUCAGGCACACUGGAACUGAGACACGGUCCAGACACCUACGGGUGUCAGCAGUCGAGAAUAAUUCACAAUGGGGGCAACCCUGAUGGUGCAACGCCGCGUGGAGGAUGACGGUCUUCGGAUUGUAAACUCCUGUCAUCUGGGAGAAAGACCUGACGGUAAAUAGCCGGCAGGGUUGAUAGUACCAGAAGAGGAAGGGACGGCUAACUUCGUGCCAGCCGCCGCCGUAA